CUUUUUAGUCCCUGUGUAAUAAG
rnacentral:misc_RNA from 1 species